CCUGUCAGAACAAACUGAAGCAGUUGGUGCAAAGUGCAACUUUGAUAGUGUGUAACUCUCCACGCUAUCAGAUGUGCUCUUACACGCUCGCUGCUUACUUUCAACUUAUGAAGAA
rnacentral:precursor_RNA from 10 species